ACUAAUAGUUCCCACAAACUCUACAGAUUUAUACUUUGUUUGGAAGCCUGAUCAGAGAGCUGGGGCUUCUGGUUUUGGAGGAGCUGAGAGAUGUGCACGUGCAGAUGAAGGACAUCUUGGUGUGUAUGGGGCAUAGUUACAAAGUUGGAUGCUUCUGACCUGUGUGGGGGUCAGGCUGUGAAGGUCACCAGGGGGACCACUUUUAAGAAGGCUCCAUCUGGCAGUGGGCAGUGAAUGAACAGUUGGGAACUUCAGUAUUUAACCAUGAGAAGGCAUACAGAAGAACUAGGGCAAUG